rnacentral:snoRNA from 1 species
GGCCUCCUGGUGCUUCCCGCAGACUGUUGUUUACACCAACUUUGUAGAAGGAGGAGACUCCUUAAACCCACCUCACGUAUACCUGGGCCUGGUUUGUGUUAUGAACUGAGGGAUAUGA